GACGAACGCUGGCGGCGUGCCUAAUACAUGCAAGUCGAACGCACUCUCGUUUAGAUUGAAGGAGCUUGCUCCUGAUUGAUAAACAUUUGAGUGAGUGGCGGACGGGUGAGUAACACGUGGGUAACCUGCCCUAAAGUGGGGGAUAACAUUUGGAAACAGAUGCUAAUACCGCAUAAAACCUAACACCGCAUGGUGUAGGGUUGAAGGAUGGUUUCGGCUAUCACUUUAGGAUGGACCCGCGGUGCAUUAGUUAGUUGGUGAGGUAAAGGCUCACCAAGACCGUGAUGCAUAGCCGACCUGAGAGGGUAAUCGGCCACACUGGGACUGAGACACGGCCCAGACUCCUACGGGAGGCAGCAGUAGGGAAUCUUCCACAAUGGACGAAAGUCUGAUGGAGCAACGCCGCGUGAGUGAAGAAGGUUUUCGGAUCGUAAAACUCUGUUGUUGGAGAAGAAUGUAUCUGAUAGUAACUGAUCAGGUAGUGACGGUAUCCAACCAGAAAGCCACGG
rnacentral:rRNA from 1 species